UUAAAUUUUAUUUAUUAAUUAUUUUUUUUUAUUAUUUAAAUUAUUAAAAAUAUUUAUAAAAUGAUUUGUUUUAGUAUUUAUAAAGAAAAAAUAAUUUUAAUUAUAGUUUAAUAGUAUUGUGAAAGAAAAUUGAAAUAUUUUGAAAAAUUUUUAUUGUAAAAGAAAAUUUAAUUUAUUGUACCUUGUGUAUCAGGGUUUAUCAAAUAAAAGUUAUGUAAAAUAAUUUUCUCGAUUUUAAAAGAGUUAAUAUAUUAUUAAAGUUAAUGUAGUAAAAUUAUUUUAAAUAAUAUAUUAGAAAUGAAAUGUUAUUCGUUUUUAAAGGUAUCUAGUUUUUUAAGAAAUAAAUUUAAUUUAGAAAUUUUAUAUUAUUUAGUUAACUGUAUUAAUUAAAUAAUUAUUUAAUUUUAAUAUUUUACGGGAUAAGCUGUGAAAUAAAUUUUUAAAAAUUAAUAAAUAUAAUAAUAAAUAUAAGCUUAGAAAUAGCUAUUAUUUGUAAAAGUGUUAUAAUUUAUUUAAGAUAGAUUAUUAUUUAUUUUAUUUUAAAUUUUUAUUAAAAUUUUCAUUUUAAUUUUAUUAAUGAAGUAAUAAUGAUAAAAUUAGUAUAUAAUUUUGUAAAAGUAAUUAUGAAUGGAAAGUUUUUAUAAAGAACUCGGCAAAAAUAGUAUUCGCCUGUUUAACAAAAACAUGUCUUUUUGAAUUUUUAUUUAAAGUCUAGCCUGCCCACUGAUUUUUUUUAAAUGGCCGCAGUAUUCUGACUGUGCAAAGGUAGCAUAAUCAUUAGUCUUUUAAUUGAAGGCUGGUAUGAAUGGUUGGACGAGAUAUUAACUGUUUCAUAAAAAUUUACAGUAGAAUUUUAUUUUUUAGUCAAAAAGCUAAAAUAAUUUUAAAAGACGAGAAGACCCUAUAAAUCUUAAUAUUUAAAUUAUUAUGAUUUUGUAGAUUUAUUUUAUUAUAAUAAUUAAUGAUAUUUUAUUGGGGUGAUAUUAAAAUUUAUAUAACUUUUAAUUUUUUAAUUCAUUAAUUUAUGAAUAAUUGAUCCAUUAAUAGUGAUUAAAAGAAUAAGUUACUUUAGGGAUAACAGCGUAAUUUUUUUGGAGAGUUCUUAUCGAUAAAAAAGAUUGCGACCUCGAUGUUGGAUUAAGAUAUAAUUUUAGGUGUAGCCGCUUAAAUUUUAAGUCUGUUCGACUUUUAAAUUCUUACAUGAUCUGAGUUCAAACCGGUGUAAGCCAGGUUGGUUUCUAUCUUUAAUCUAUUAAAAUAUUUCAGUACGAAAGGACCUAAUAUUUAAUAAAUUAUUAUUUAUAUAUUGAAUAUAAUUAAUAU
rnacentral:rRNA from 1 species